rnacentral:rRNA from 1 species
GGACGAACGCUGGCGGCGUGCUUAACACAUGCAAGUCGAACGGAAAGGCCCUUCGGGGUACUCGAGUGGCGAACGGGUGAGUAACACGUGGGUGAUCUGCCCUGCACUUUGGGAUAAGCCUGGGAAACUGGGUCUAAUACCGAAUAUGAUCAUGCGCCUCAUGGUGUGUGGUGGAAAGCUUUUGCGGUGUGGGAUGGGCCCGCGGCCUAUCAGCUUGUUGGUGGGGUAAUGGCCUACCAAGGCGACGACGGGUAGCCGGCCUGAGAGGGUGUCCGGCCACACUGGGACUGAGAUACGGCCCAGACUCCUACGGGAGGCAGCAGUGGGGAAUAUUGCACAAUGGGCGCAAGCCUGAUGCAGCGACGCCGCGUGAGGGAUGACGGCCUUCGGGUUGUAAACCUCUUUCAGCAGGGACGAAGCGCAAGUGACGGUACCUGUAGAAGAAGCACCGGCCAACUACGUGCCAGCAGCCGCGGUAAUACGUAGGGUGCGAGCGUUGUCCGGAAUUACUGGGCGUAAAGAGCUCGUAGGUGGUUUGUCGCGUUGUCCGUGAAAACUCACAGCUUAACUGUGGGCGUGCGGGCGAUACGGGCAGACUGGAGUACUGCAGGGGAGACUGGAAUUCCUGGUGUAGCGGUGGAAUGCGCAGAUAUCAGGAGGAACACCGGUGGCGAAGGCGGGUCUCUGGGCAGUAACUGAC